GACGAACGCUGGCGGCGUGCUUAACACAUGCAAGUCGAACGGAAAGGCCUUGCUUUCGUGGGGUGCUCGAGUGGCGAAGGGGUGUGUAACACGUGUGACACCUGCCUUUGACUUUGGUAUAACUUCAGGAAACUGUGGCUUAUACCGUACAGGCACUCCCGCUGCAUGGUGUGGGUUGGAAAGUUUCGGUGGUGGGGGAUGGUCUCGCGGCUUAUCAGCUUGUUGGUGGGGUAGUGGCUUACCAAGGCUGUGACGGGUAGCCGGCCUGAGAGGGUGACCGGCCACAUUGGGACUGAGAUACGGCCCAGACUCCUACGGGAGGCAGCAGUGGGGAAUAUUGCACAAUGGGCGGAAGCCUGAUGCAGCAACGCCGCGUGCGGGAUGACGGCCUUCGGGUUGUAAACCGCUUUCAGCAGGGAAGAAGAGAAAGUGACGGUAAUUGGUGAGAAAGCGCCGGCUAACUACGUG
rnacentral:rRNA from 1 species